AAAGAUCAGGGCCUAACCCUGGAAAAGCAGUGGAAACUAACAGGCUUGAGUGUGGUAGAGGUAGAGGGAAUUCCUGGUGUAGCGGUGAAAUGCGUGAAUAUUAGGAAGAACACCAAUGGCGAAACGACUCUACUGGGCCAUAACUGACACUGAGAGACGACAGCUAGGGGAGCAAAUGGGAUUAGGUACCCCAGUAGUCCUAGCCGUAAACGAUGGAUACUAGGUGUUGCACGUAUUAACCCGUGCAGUAUCGUAGCUAAGGCGUUAAGUAUCCCGCCUGGRAAGUACGCUCGCAAGAGUGAAACUCAAAGGAAUGACGGGGG
rnacentral:rRNA from 1 species